rnacentral:rRNA from 1 species
UACGGAAGGGUGCAAGCGUUACUCGGAAUUACUGGGCGUAAAGCGUGCGUAGGUGGUUGUUUAAGUCUGCUGUGAAAGCCCUGGGCUCAACCUGGGAAUUGCAGUGGAUACUGGGCGACUAGAGUGUGGUAGAGGAUAGUGGAAUUUCCGGUGUAGCAGUGAAAUGCGUAGAGAUCGGAAGGAACAUCUGUGGCGAAGGCGACUACCUGGGCCAACACUGACGCUGAGGAGCGAAAGCCAGGGGAGCAAACGGGG